CACAUACACAGAAGGAAAGACCAUGUGAGAACACGGUCAGAAGGUGGCCAUCUACAAGCCAAGGAGAGAUGUCUCACCAGAAACUAACCCUGCUGGCACCUUGAGCUUGGACUUCCAGCCUCCAGAAUGUCUGUCCACGUGCAGUCAAGACUAGCAAUUUGUGAGAUGAACCUGCAGUGACAGCUUUCUGGGUCCAGGAACUUCACCAUCUGUAAUGGGCACCUGGUUUCUAGAAGAGGUGAUGCAUGAGCCAUUCCUGUUCUCUUGGAUGACAAACAAGGACGUUGCUCCAGGAGCAAAGGGGAUCCCUUCGCAUGGUCAGGAGGUAACAGAUGUGGGUGAGUUGGGUCUGGGCCCAGAGGACUAACUCUGACACUAGCUGAUUGAAAAAAAAAAAGUGGUCCCAUCAUUCAUCUUAACUCUUGGCCUUGCCUAGAGCAUGCUGAAAUGUUAAAAGUUGGAAGAUUCUGUGUUAUUAGCCCAUAGGAAAUGAGUUAAGGAAAAAUUCGUAUUGCAGAUGAAAGAAGGGAUAACUAAGGACCAAAUUCCUUGGGAAGGGAUGAGAUCUAGAAAAUACAUUGAAGGAUUGACCUUUGAUAGGAAAGGAAGCUGUUUCCUCAGUUGCUAAAGGAGGGCAAAGAUAGACAGUGGUAUGGGUGCAGGUAAGUUUGUAAAUCUGGUGGUGGGAAGGUAAGGGAGUAAUCAUCCAAUGGCUCCUAUCUUCUCAACCAAGUAUAAGCCAAACAAGAUGGAGGAUGUGAAGAAGCCAGUAGGAAGGGAAGAAGGUUUGGGAGGAGAGAAGAGAAGAUUUUCUUGGAGACAGGACAGUAAUCUUACUAGCAAAAAAGUGCUGGGUUGCUGGCUUAUGAGACUUCAUCUGGGGGGUGGGAUCAUGAAUCUCAAAGUGAAGCCAAUUUGCCCUAUUGUGUGAAUCUGGCAAAGUUGAACUGCUGGGUGUAGACCUGGAGCUGGUGGGUGUCUGAGUCUGUUCAGGCAAGUGUGAUGGAGGAAGAGAGAGGCUAGAUGAUCAAAAUGAUGGGCCAUGGAGUCUAAUCUGGAGAAGAAAUGUGAAGAAAGGUGACGGCUGAUGGAGAUGGAGAAGUCAGUGGAUUUUACCUCAUGAUAAAGGCGAAAUAUGGGGGAAGUUCUUGAUCAGUGUCAUUGAAGAUAAGAGGUUGGGGUUAGUGUUUGUAAUGUUUGGGAG
ensembl:lncRNA